rnacentral:rRNA from 1 species
UGCCUGCCCAGUGACUUAGUUAAACGGCCGCGGUAUCUUGACCGUGCAAAGGUAGCAUAAUCAUUUGCCUCUUAAAUGGGGGCUGGUAUGAAUGGCAAGACGGGAAUCAAGCUGUCUCUCCCUUAUAUCUUGAAGUUAAUAUUUCUGUGAAGAAGCAGAAAUGAGAUCGCAGGACGAGAAGACCCUAUCGAGCUUUAGUAGAAAUAAGAUAUAAGCUUGUUAAUAGUGUUUGUGCUGCUAAUUCAAUUGUUAAAAACAGUUCCUAUAGUUUUACUGCUAAAAACAUUAGUGUUGUAUAUAUAAUACUUAGGUUGGGGCAACCGCGGAGAAUAAUUAUCCUCCGUUAAUUUUAUUGAAAAAAUAAUUAUUUUUCAAUAUAAGAUUUAUUUAAAGAGUGAUCCACUGAAAUGGUGAGCAAAAGAAUAAGUUACCGUAGGGAUAACAGCGUAAUUUUUUUGGAGAGUUCAUAUUGAUAAAAAAGUUUGCGACCUCGAUGUUGGAUCGGGAUUUCCUGGGGAUGCAGCAGUUCCC